GACGAACGCUGGCGGCGUGCUUAACACAUGCAAGUCGAGCGGUAAGGCCCUUUCGGGGGUACACGAGCGGCGAACGGGUGAGUAACACGUGGGUGACCUGCCCUCAGCUCUGGGAUAAGCCUGGGAAACCGGGUCUAAUACUGGAUAUGACUCCAUGACGCAUGUUGUGGGGUGGAAAGCCUUGUGCGGCUGAGGAUGGGCCCGCGGCCUAUCAGCUUGUUGGUGGGGUGANGGCCUACCAAGGCGACGACGGGUAGCCGGCCUGAGAGGGCGACCGGCCACACUGGGACUGAGACACGGCCCAGACCCCUACGGGAGGCAGCAGUGGGGAAUCUUGCGCAAUGGGCGAAAGCCUGACGCAGCGACGCCGCGUGGGGAGUGAAGGCCCUCGGGUUGUAAACCUCUUUCAGCUCCGACGAAGCGAGAGUGACGGUAGGGAGCAGAAGAAGCACCGGCCAACUACGUGCCAGCAGCCGCGGUAAG
rnacentral:rRNA from 1 species